GGGGCGGUAGCUCAGUCGGUAGAGCACCUGCUUUGCAAGCAGGGGGUCGUCGGUUCGAAUCCGAUCCGCUCCA
rnacentral:tRNA from 1 species